GCCCCGCGCACGCCCCCCUGCUCUUCUCCCCGUACUGAGGGGAUGGGGACAGUGACACUGUGACAGUCACACAGGGACAGUGACACCGUGACAGUGACACUGACACCGUGACAGUGACAGGGACAGUGACACACUGACAGUGACAGGGACACGGGGACAGUGACACAAUGACUGACAGUGACAGUGACAGGGACAGGGGGAACAAUCCCCCCGAGGACAAGGCCCCCCCCCAAACCUGCAACGAUUCCUUGGGACAAUCCUGGAACAGCCCCCGGGACACGGAACACCGGGAACACCCAAGGGACACGCGGGAACACCCAGGGGACACCCGGACAGAAGCCAGCACCUGGCAACCUUCAGUGAGCAACUGCCCGGUGACGGUCACUCGGUGACGGUCACUGUGACGGUCACUCAGUGAGGGUCACUCACCGAUGGUCAGUGAGGGUCACUCAUUGGUCACUCUGUGGUCACUCAGUGACAGUCACUCACCGAUGGUCAGUGAGGGUCACUCAGUUAUCACUCAUUGGUCACUCAGUGACAGUCACUCACCGAUGGUCAGUGGUCACUCUGUGGUCACUCAGUGACGUUCACUCACCGAUGGUCACUGGUCACUCAGUGGUCAAUCACUGGUCACUCAGUGGUCACUCACUGGUCACUCAGUGGUCACUCAGUGACAGUCACUCACCGAUGGUCAGUGGUCACUCAGUGGUCACUCAUUGGUCACUCAGUGGUCACUCAGUGACAGUCACUCACCGAUGGUCAGUGGUCACUCAGUGGUCACUCAGUGACAGUCACUCACCGAUGGUCACUGGUCACUCACUGGUCACUCACUGGUCACUCUGUCACUCACCUGACCUGUCGGUCCCCUGGCCACGCCCACCAUCCCCUCCCUGCCCGGCAACAGCCGUGACCAUGGCAACGGGGAUCUCCAUGGCAACCGGGAUCUCCAAGGCAACCGGAUCUCCAUGGCAACCGGGAUCUCCAUGGCAACCGGAUCUCCAUGGCAACCGGAUCUCCAUGGCAACCGGAUCUCCAUGGCAACCGGCCCUGGCCCCGCCCCCCGGCUGUUCCCCCUGCC
rnacentral:lncRNA from 1 species